GACGAACGCUGGCGGCGUGCUUAACACAUGCCAGUCGAGCGGAAAGGCCACUUCGGUGGUACUCGAGCGGCGAACGGGUGAGUAACACGUGAGUAAUCUGCCCCUGGCUUUGGGAUAGCCACCGGAAACGGUGAUUAAUACCGGAUAUGACACAUUCUCGCAUGAGUUUGUGUGGAAAGUUUUUCGGCCAGGGAUGUGCUCGCGGCCUAUCAGCUUGAUGGUGAGGUAAUGGCUCACCAUGGCUUCGACGGGUAGCCGGCCUGAGAGGGUGACCGGUCACACUGGGACUGAGACACGGCCCAGACUCCUACGGGAGGCAGCAGUGGGGAAUAUUGGACAAUGGGCGGAAGCCUGAUCCAGCAACGCCGCGUGAGGGAUGACGGCCUUCGGGUUGUAAACCUCUUUCAGUACCGACGAAGCGCAAGUGACGGUAGGUACAGAAGAAGCACCGGCCAACUACGUG
rnacentral:rRNA from 1 species